rnacentral:rRNA from 1 species
ACUCCGGGGAUAACAGGCUGAUACCGCCCAAGAGUUCAUAUCGACGGCGGUGUUUGGCACCUCGAUGUCGGCUCAUCACAUCCUGGGGCUGAAGUAGGUCCCAAGGGUAUGGCUGUUCGCCAUUUAAAGUGGUACGCGAGCUGGGUUUAGAACGUCGUGAGACAGUUCGGUCCCUAUCUGCCGUGGGCGCUGGAGAACUGAGGGGGGCUGCUCCUAGUACGAGAGGACCGGAGUGGACGCAUCACUGGUGUUCGGGUUGUCAUGCCAAUGGCACUGCCCGGUAGCUAAAUGCGGAAGAGAUAAGUGCUGAAAGCAUCUAAGCACGAAACUUGCCCCGAGAUGAGUUCUCCCUGAGACUUUAGGUCUCCUGAAGGAACGUUGAAGACGACGACGUUGAUAGGCCGGGUGUGUAAGCGCAGCGAUGCGUUGAGCUAACCGGUACUAAUGAACCGUGAGGCUUAACCUUACAACGCCGAAG